rnacentral:rRNA from 1 species
CCUACGGGAGGCAGCAGUAGGGAAUCUUCCACAAUGGGCGAAAGCCUGAUGGAGCAACGCCGCGUGAGUGAUGAAGGCCUUCGGGUUGUAAAACUCUGUCAUUCGGGACGAACCGGAGUCUGAGGAAAUGCAGACUCUCUGACGGUACCGGAGGAGGAAGCCCCGGCUAACUACGUGCCAGCAGCCGCGGUAAUACGUAGGGGGCAAGCGUUGUCCGGAUUCACUGGGCGUAAAGCGCGCGCAGGCGGUGAUGUAAGUCUGAGGUGAAAACCCGAAGCUCAACUUCGGGACUGCCUUGGAUACUGCGUCACUUGAGGAUAGGAGAGGCAAGGGGAAUUCCACGUGUAGCGGUGAAAUGCGUAGAGAUGUGGAGGAACACCUGUGGCGAAGGCGCCUUGCUGGCCUAUUUCUGACGCUGAGGCGCGAAAGCGUGGGGAGCAAACAGGAUUAGAUACCCUGGUAGUCCACGCUGUAAACGAUGAGUGCUAGGUGUAGGUGGGCUCAUACCCAUCUGUGCCGAAGCUAACGCAUUAAGCACUUCCGCCUGGGGAGUUACGGUCGCGAGACUGAAACUUCAAAGAGUUAGUUAGGCGUUGAGAGAGCGACGGACGGACGACGACGGAGGUAGGUAGG